rnacentral:rRNA from 1 species
AACAAACGCUGGCGGCAUGCCUAGCACAUGCAAGUCGAACGAGACCUUCGGGUCUAGUGGCGCACGGGUGCGUAACGCGUGGGAACCUGCCCUUAGGUUCGGAAUAACUCCCCGAAAGGGGUGCUAAUACCGGAUAAUGUCUUCGGACCAAAGAUUUAUCGCCUUUGGAUGGGCCCGCGUUGGAUUAGCUAGUUGGUAGGGUAAAAGCCUACCAAGGCGACGAUCCAUAGCUGGUCUGAGAGGAUGAUCAGCCACACUGGGACUGAGACACGGCCCAGACUCCUACGGGAGGCAGCAGUGGGGAAUAUUGGACAAUGGGCGAAAGCCUGAUCCAGCAAUGCCGCGUGAGUGAUGAAGGCCUUAGGGUUGUAAAGCUCUUUUACCCGGGAUGAUAAUGACAGUACCGGGAGAAUAAGCUCCGGCUAACUCCGUG